rnacentral:rRNA from 1 species
GACGAACGCUGGCGGCGUGCCUAAUACAUGCAAGUCGAGCGGGGAUUAUGCUUGAUCGCUUCGGUGAGACGGCAUAUAUCCUAGCGGCGGACGGGUGAGUAACGCGUGGGUAAUCUACCUCGUAGUUCGGGAUAACAGGCCGAAAGGCUUGCUAAUACCGGAUGAGUUCAUGCUUAUGCAUAUAGGCAUGAAGAAAGGGCUAGCCCGCUAUGAGAUGAGCCCGCGUCCCAUUAGCUUGUUGGUGGGGUAAUGGCCUACCAAGGCAACGAUGGGUAGCCGGCCUGAGAGGGUGUACGGCCACACUGGGACUGAGACACGGCCCAGACUCCUACGGGGGGCAGCAGUAGGGAAUUUUCGGCAAUGGGCGAAAGCCUGACCGAGCGACGCCGCGUGAGGGACGAAGGCCUUCGGGUUGUAAACCUCUGUCUGGGGGAUGAGAACGGACGGUACCCCGGAGGAAGCCCGGCUACUACGUG